rnacentral:rRNA from 1 species
CACGCUGAAACACCGGUUGCCGUACGAUCACCGAAGUUAAGCAACGUCGAGCUUGGUCAGUACCUAGAUGGGUGACCGCUUGGGAAUCCCAGGUGCUGUAAG